rnacentral:rRNA from 1 species
CACGUAGGGUGCGAGCGUUGUCCGGAAUUAUUGGGCGUAAAGAGCUCGUAGGCGGUGUGUCGCGUCGGCCGUGAAAACCUGCAGCUUAACUGUGGGCUUGCGGUCGAUACGGGCAUCACUGGAGUUCGGCAGGGGAGACUGGAAUUCCUGGUGUAGCGGUGAAAUGCGCAGAUAUCAGGAGGAACACCGGUGGCGGAAGGCGGGUCUCUGGGCCGAUACUGACGCUGAGGUGCGAAAGCGUGGGGAGCAAACAGG